GGACGAACGCUGGCGGCGUGCUUAACACAUGCAAGUCAAGGAGAACGUUUCCUUCGGGGAAUUAUUAAACUGGCGAACGGGUGAGUAACGCGUAGGCAACCUGCCUUAGAGAUUGGGAUAACCCCGCGAAAGCGGAGCUAAAACCGAAUAAUGCAGCGGUCCCUUCGGGGAACAGUUGUUAAAGCGGGCUUCGGCUCGUACUUUAAGAUGGGCCUGCGUUCGAUUAGCUUGUUGGUAAGGUAACGGCUUACCAAGGCGAUGAUCGAUAGCUGAUUUGAGAGGAUGAUCAGCCACACUGGGAUUGAGAUACGGCCCAGACUCCUACGGGAGGCAGCAGUGGGGAAUUUUGCGCAAUGGGCGAAAGCCUGACGCAGCAACGCCGCGUGAUCGAUGAAGCUUCUAGGAGCGUAAAGAUCUGUCGUAAGGGAAGAAAAGUUCGGAUGUAAAUAGCAUUCGUUCUAGACGGUACCUUACAAGAAAGCACCGGCUAACUUCGUGCCAGCAGCCGCGGUAAUACGAGGGGUGCUAGCGUUGUCCGGAAUUAUUGGGCGUAAAGGGUUCGUAGGCGUUUUGACAAGUCAAUUGUUAAAUACAUCGGCUUAACCGAUGAAAUGCAUUUGAAACUGUCGAAAUAGAGUAUAGGAGAGGAAAGCGGAAUUCCUGGUGUAGCGGUGACAUGCGUAGAUAUCUGGAAGAACACCAGUGGCGAAGGCGGCUUUCUGGCCUGAUACUGACGCUGACGCGCGAAAGCUAGGGGAGCAAACAGGAUUAGAUACCCUGGUAGUCCUAGCCGUAAACGUUGGGCACUAGGUGUUGGGGGUAUCGACCCCCUCAGUGCCGAAGCUAACGCAUUAAGUGCCCCGCCUGGGGAGUACGACCGCAAGGUUGAAACUCAAAGGAAUUGACGGGGGCCUGCACAAGCGGUGGAGCAUGUGGUUUAAUUCGAUGCAACGCGAAGAACCUUACCUGGGUUUGACAUGUACUUGAAAGCCGUAGAGAUACGGCCCCUCUUCGGAGCGGGUACACAGGUGCUGCAUGGCUGUCGUCAGCUCGUGUCGUGAGAUGUUGGGUUAAGUCCCGCAACGAGCGCAACCCUCGCCCUUAGUUGCCAGCAGGUGAAGCUGGGCACUCUAGGGGGACUGCCGAUGAUAAAUCGGAGGAAGGCGGGGAUGAUGUCAAGUCCUCAUGGCCUUUAUAUCCAGGGCUACACACGUGCUACAAUGGCCGGUAUAAUGGGUUACAAUACCGCGAGGUGGAGUUAAUCUCUAAAAGCCGGUCUCAGUUCGGAUUGCAGUCUGCAACUCGACUGCAUGAAGGUGGAAUCGCUAGUAAUCGCGGAUCAGCAUGCCGCGGUGAAUAUGUUCCCAGGCCUUGUACACACCGC
rnacentral:rRNA from 1 species